GGUGCUCCAGAAGCCUGGACAUGUUGGCAGCAUGGACAGGGGGGAGCCAUGGAUACCCCAGGACUCUGAAACAGGGACCCCGGACAGUGCUGACCCCUGGGAUACCUGUGAUGCCAAAGUGGUGAGCCCAGAGAAGGGGAACCUGUGGGAUUGCCAGGAGCCCCAGCAGCCCAGAGAGGGGAACACCAAUACAAACCUGACCCGCAGCAACCCAGACAGGGGGGCCUCCAGGAGCCGAAAGAGAGACCAGAGAGGGGAAAUCCAGGGUUGGGUGUUUUUGCUGAAUCUUGGUCAUUUCUGUAUUUUGGGGGACUAAAUCUCAGUGUUUUGGGGGUUUACAUGGGCACCAGAUUCCCAGUGACUUCUAGAGUGUGGAGGCACAGGUGCCCAACAUUGGAACUGCAAUACCUCAAGGCAAAGGUGACCAGGGUCAGAGAGAGACACCCCUCUGAGGACAAUGGUCUCACCAUCAGCAUUUGCAGGCUCAUGUGAAUGCAGCAGGCUUCAUUGGUAUCACCCAGUCCAGCUGCCCUUUUUUCCUUAUAUGUGCUCCCCCUAGAAUGUUCUCCCCUCUCUUGUCCCCCAUUGGUCCCGGUUUACUGCAAUGCUCUGCCCCUGUUACCUCAUUGGUUCCCCAGUUGGCUGCCCCUCCUCUGCACCACCUGUGCUCAGUUCCCAUUGGCCCUUGGCCCUGAGACCCGCCCCUUUCCCCCCUUAUCAAACCCUGUGUCCCCAGCCCCAUUUUGUCUCUGUCUCUGGACCCUCUGCAUUGCAAUAAACUGCAUUUGGAGCUGUGCACACAGACCCGUCUCUGGCCUUGUCCAUCAGCAGGUUAAGCAAGCGUGCUCCAGGCCCUUGGAGUGCAGGAUUUCUCAUUCCCAAACUGGCUGGAUGGAGGAGGAGGCUGUGAGGAAGAGGAAGAUUCCCCGGGACAUGCAGGCAGACAAGGAGGUGAGGAUGGAGACCAGGGAGGACAAAUCCCCUCAAGAGAAUCUCAAGGAAGAGGCAGAUUUGAGCAGCUCCACAAGGCAGGAAUUCAACAGGGAGGAAAAGCACCAGAGAUCCCACAGGAGGAGGGGCUCCAAACCCAGCCCAGGUUGCUCUGAGGUGAAAGGCUGCACCCUGAGCCAGGAAGGUGGACACAGCUUCAUCCAGGGAUCGGAGCUGGUGGCCCAUGAGCAGCUUCAUGAUGGGGAGAAGCCCUACAAGUGCUUGGAGUGUGGGAAGAGCUUCAGGCAGAGCUCCCACUUGAUCCACCACCAGAUGAUCCACACUGGGGAAUUGCCCUACGAGUGUCCCCAGUGUGGGAAGAGCUUCACCCAGAGCUCUGACUUGACCAGACACCUACGGAAGCACCAGUAAGGGAAGCCCAGCAAAUGUCCCUGCAGGGAGAGCUUUGUGCCUGGCUCCAGCUUCAUACCGAAUUGGAGGACCCACGUUGGGAAGAGACCUGUGAUGCAUGUUCCCUGUGAUCCAUGCUGGGAAGACACCUGUCCAUUUUCCUGCCCCUGCCAGUGACAUGAUGGGAGACUGAAGAUCAUGAGGGUCUGGCCAGGGCUGUAUCAUUACAUUCACUCCCACCGCAGGUCAUUGCCAGGGGCAGGAAAGGGACUUUCUCUCUUCCCAAGGAAAAGGGUGUCCUUUCCAAGGAGAGGGAAAUAUGUUGCUGGGAAAAGCCAGUCAGUUGUGUUGUAGUUUUCCCUGUAAAUUGUUUGUCUUAUCCCUUGUCUUAUCAAUAUUGUUUCUGUUUCUGUUUGUUCUUUAUCUCGUUGCUGUUCCCAGUAAAUUGUUCUUAUCCCAGCCCGGGAUCUUUGCCUGUUGUGCUUUCCAUGGAAGGUGGGAGGGCA